GACGAACGCUGGCGGCGUGCCUAAUACAUGCAAGUAGGACGCAGUUGCGAACGGGAGAGUAACGCGUAGGUAACUAACUAGUAGAGGGGGAUAACUAUUGGAAACGAUAGCUAAUAACGCCUACUAGUAGAUGGACCUGCGUUGUAUUAGCUAGUAGGUAGGGUAAUGGCCUACCUAGGCAACGAUAAAUAGCCGACCUGCGAGGGGGAACGGCCACAAUGGGAAUGAGAAACGGGCCAGGAUCCUGCGGGAGGCAGCAGUAGGGAAUCUUCGGCAAUGGGGGGAACCCUGACCGAGGAACGCCGCGUGAGUGAAGAAGGGUUUCGGGUCGUAAAGCUCUGUUGUUAAGGAAGCGGUACUUAACCAGAAAGGGACGGCUAACUACGUGCCAGCAGCCGCGGUAAUUC
rnacentral:rRNA from 1 species